GGAAGCGUGCCCGAAUUUUAAGGACUACUUUGAUAGAGUAACCCACAGAGGUUCAAAUCCUCUCACUUCCU
rnacentral:tRNA from 1 species